rnacentral:rRNA from 1 species
GUAGCGAGAUGUGGGUGGGAAUCCCACAGGCCGUAAACCCAAGGUUUCCAGGGGAAGGUUCGUCCACCCUGGGGUAGUCGGGACCUAAGCUGAGGCCGAAAGGCGUAGGUGAUGGACAACAGGUUGAUAUUCCUGUACUACCGAUAACCGUUUGAGAGAAGGGAUGACACCGUAGGAUAAGCUAAGCACACUGUUGGUUAUGUGUGCCCAAGCAUUGAGGCAGUCAAAGUAGGCAAAUCCGCUUUGAUAAUGCUGGGAUGUGAUGGGGAGCGAAAUUUAGUAGCGAAGUAGCUGAUUUCACACUGUCAAGAAAAGUCUCUAUCGAGGUUAAAGGUACCCGUACCGCAAACCGACACAGGUG